UACGUAGGGUGCAAGCGUUGUCCGGAAUUAUUGGGCGUAAAGGGCUCGUAGGCGGUCUGUCGCGUCGGGAGUGAAAACUCAGGGCUUAACCCUGAGCCUGCUUCCGAUACGGGCAGACUAGAGGUAUGCAGGGGAGAACGGAAUUCCUGGUGUAGCGGUGAAAUGCGCAGAUAUCAGGAGGAACACCGAUGGCGAAGGCAGGUCUCUGGGACGGUAUUGACGCUAAGGCGCGAAAGCGUGGGGAGCAAACAGG
rnacentral:rRNA from 1 species